rnacentral:rRNA from 1 species
GACGAACGCUGGCGGCGUGCCUAAUACAUGCAAGUCGAACGCAGUGGGGACGGGUGAGUAAAACGUGGGUAACCUCCCAUCAGAGGGGAUAACACUUGGAAACAGGUGCUAAACCGAUAUUGGUGGAUGGACCCGCGGUGCAUUAGCGAGUUGGUGAGGUAACUGCCCACCAAGGCCACGAUGCCUAGCCGACCUGAGAGGGUGAUCGGCCACACUGGAACUGAGACACGGCCCAGACUCCUACGGGAGGCAGCAGUAGGGAAUAUUCGGCAAUGGACGAAAGUCUGACCGAGCAAGGCCGCGUGAGUGAAGAAGGUUUUCGGAUCGUAAAACUCUGUUGUUGGAGAAGCGGUAUCUAAACAGAAAGCAACGGCUAACUACGUGCCAGCAGCCGCGGUAAUAC